rnacentral:rRNA from 1 species
UACGGGGGGAGCAAGCGUUGUUCGGAUUUACUGGGCGUAAAGGGCGCGUAGGCGGCCACCGCAAGUCAGUUGUGAAAUCUCUGGGCUUAACCCAGAAAGGUCAACUGAUACUGCGGGGCUAGAGUGCAGAAGGGGCAACUGGAAUUCUCGGUGUAGCGGUGAAAUGCGUAGAUAUCGAGAGGAACAUCAGUGGCGAAGGCGGCCAUCUGGAUCAACACUGACGCUGAGGCACGAAAGCGUGGGGAGCAAACAGG